rnacentral:lncRNA from 1 species
CAUGUGGCAGAAAUUUAAGGAUCUGUGCGUCUUGGUGCCGAUUCCAAUUGUCUGUUUUAACAAAGACAAUAUGUCACGUAACUAAGAUUUCCCAUUAUUUGGGCCAGGAGGAUUUGCUGACCGUAUAUCUUAAUUUGUCCCCCAAUUGCUAAGAUGGCGACAAAUUAACCAUGUUUCUAAUCAUUACUGAUCUACCCAUUUGAACCCCACGUGAAGGAGAGCCAGAUGCCUUUACGUGGAUCUCCAUAACAACAAAAAGAUGAAGCUUCCUCUCUCCAUCUCUCGUUCCAAGAUGGGGGCAACACUGCGAGAAUCCUUCGUUUGUUUAUUGGCAGGGAAAUCUUUGUCAAAUAGAAUCUUAUAUCUGGUGACCAUGGUCAUUGAACCUAGUCUUCACUUUUGUUUUUUCUUUAUUCCCUGAUAUUUUGUUUUUAGUGGAGUCCUCAUCCUCUCCCAUUCAUGUUUCUCUUUGGCCACGCAAUAUUAAACAAAUCUUCACUCCCCACUUUUAAUUAAAUAUGCAAGUAUGUAUGCAUGCAUAUGUAUCACUUUUAAUUAAAUAUGCAAGUACGUAUGCAUGCAUAUGUAUAGCCUGUAGGAAUAAAUCCUUAUGCUAGAAAGCAUUGUGACGGGAAAAGCUAUUAUAAGCAUG